rnacentral:lncRNA from 1 species
CUUUCCAACAAGGUAUGGUUCAUGCAAAUCUGAUCAUCCUAGCUUAAGUUAUGAAUUUUUCUUUACAAGCUGCUCAAUAAGGUCUUAAUCAGUCCAGUAUUGGUACUUGUUUAUAGUAUCACAAAACUUAUCAGAUUCAUGCAUUUCCAUACAAAUUCAAGCUUAAGUGUCUUCCAAAAAGUUUUAGGUAUACUUCUUAAGAUUCAUUUGGCACUGGUCUUAACAAAUUUCACUGAGUAUGUAAUUAGUUAUGGUAUAAUCAAUAGACUCUGUUCCGGAUGCACUACCACUGUGUCCAGUUUAGGUUCACUUGCAGUUUUCAUCAUUUUAACUACAGAUUCAGAAUUUUGUCAAUUC